AAAUGACAAGAUCAUUUAGCAAUCAAUUAGCGUGGUCCCCAGGCUCUCGGCCUGCACGGCUGCCUGCUAGCAGAAAGAAUGUGCUUUAUACCCUGAUUGGAAACAGAUGCGCUGAUGAGAAGGUGAGAAAACAGAGGCACAGGGGACAAGACACUGAAAACCACCCAGCAAGUGCAGGACAGUGAACCUGCUCUCGGGCUCUACUGUCAGGCUGUGAAGAGAUGAAUCUUUCCAGCUCUCUCCUCCUCCCUAACACAUGGAAAGGGAAGCCUGAGGCCCUAGACUCCAGCUUCAGCGCACGGGUCAGCUAUGGACUGCAAGCUGAAAUCUGGACUUCCUGGAAACUGACAUGGUUGCUCCCUGCCUCUCGGGUGGAUCAACUAACCAGAUGCUUGGGCCUGCCCCAUUGCCCAGCCUUUGACUGGCAUUUCGGCCUCCCUAGCCCCUGAUGCCAAUGGUCCAAUUGUCAGAACUGAAGAAGCUCCAGAAGAUGGAUCUUCACCCAAAUCCCACCUAGCAGGCUGAAAUGCUAAGUCAAAAGGGGCUGGCUCCCUGCAUUGGCUAUUAUCUUGGGCAUCUGCUUAGCUGAAACGGAAACUAAUAUUGCAGAAAGACACUAGAGAAAAGAAAAGGAUAAUAGUUCUCUUUGGCUUACUACCCCUAUAUCCACCCUGAAGGGACCCCUACUCAUUUUGAUUUUUAUCUUUGGGCCUUGUAUUUUAAAUUGCUUGAUGGCUCGCAUUAAAAAAAAAAAAUGUUUGGUAGCAAUAUACUAAUGGUACUCAGAUCCCGUUUUAAAAAGGUAAAUCUAUAGAAUACAAGGGGUCAUAUCUGGAAGACCCAAUGAUCAUGGGAAAGGGGGAAAUGAGAGACCAAAAGAUUAAAAAUCAGCAGUUGUUAUUAAAGUUUAAGGCCUGAACUAAGGCUAGCUAGGUAGAGAGGUCCAGUAAUGCCCUGAGGGGAAGGACCGCCUUACUGCAUUCUUUUCCCACCCACUAGAGAUACAGUUGCUAGGAAACUGGCCCAUCCCCCUAGGGAGGGACACCAGAUCAUUAAUGGUUUGGGGACCUUCCUAUAGCCAGUCAAUUCAAAAUGUAGCAUUUUGACCAAUAGAUACUUGCCAGGCAGGAAUUGCCCCUGCCUUGGGCAUGCUGGGAGGGACCAGAAUCUUUAAAUCACCCAACUAACCUGAGCAUGGGACUCUCGGCUCUCACCGCUUCGGUGGUGGGGGGUGUGGGCCCAAGCUACAGCUUGUAAUGAUUUAUAA